GGAGCGGCGGCGAUAGCUGGCGAGAGGGAGCGUGCGGCGCCGGCGGCGACCUAACUUGUAGCUUUGAAUCCACCUCGCGCGAGCGAGCGGCGGCGAUAGCCGGCGCGAGGGAGCGCGCGGCACCGGCGGCGGCGACCCCACCUAACCUGUAGCUUUGAAUCCGCCUCAAGCUCUGGAUUCGAUUCGCUUCAUCACAAUGGAGGCCAGCGAUUCUCGUAAAAAAUGGCACCUGAUGAAGACGACGAUGACCUGACUAGCUGGACUGUAUGUGUCGACACACAAAACUCCCCCGUGCAGAAUGACCCAAGUUUAUGUGUUAAAAGCAGUGGUGGUGCAAACUGCAAGGUAUCCACCACAUGCGCCAAUGAAUUAAAGAGUUACUGGACGCAAUUGCGAACAUGUGCCAUGCCUGAAGAACCAUCAACACCAAUCAAGCGUUCUGGAGACAAUCAAUGAGGUGGAUGAUGGACCUGCACAAGAUGAUGAUCACAUUGAAUGUUGGACUAAGAUUUUUCCUCAAGAUGACUGCGAGCGAGAACUCGAGCAAUUCUUUGUUCUAAGGCCUAAAACAUGAUGUCCGUGAUAUCCACAAGCUCAAGAAGACCAGUCUGGUCAGAGCGAUGAUAAGGCAGGUGCAGAUACUUGUACAGAUAACUAUGUGAAAUCUAGAACUGCACGUUGUU